ensembl:rRNA 5S_rRNA 5S ribosomal RNA
GCUCAUGGCCAUACCACUCUGAGAACGCUCAAUCUCGUUUGAUCUCGGACGUUAAGCAGGGUCAGGCCUGGUUAGUACAUGGAUGGGAAACAGCCUGGGAAUACCAGGUGCUGUAAGCU